UGAUUAUAGUCAUUUGAAACAAUACAAUAAAGUUGAAAUGAUGCAGAGAAGAUUAGUGUGGCCCCUGCACAAGGAUGGUACUCAGAAAUCAAGAAAUAUAUAUGACAUAA
rnacentral:snRNA from 1 species